GACGAACGCUGGCGGCGCGCCUAACACAUGCAAGUCGAACGAGCGAGAGGAGGUUUACUUUCUCAAGCGAGUGGCGAACGGGUGAGUAACGCGUGAGGAACCUGCCUCAAAGAGGGGGACAACAGUUGGAAACGACUGCUAAUACCGCAUAAGCCCACGACCCGGCAUCGGGUAGAGGGAAAAGGAGCAAUCCGCUUUGAGAUGGCCUCGCGUCCGAUUAGCUAGUUGGUGAGGUAAUGGCCCACCAAGGCGACGAUCGGUAGCCGGACUGAGAGGUUGAACGGCCACAUUGGGACUGCGACACGGCCCAGACUCCUACGGGAGGCAGCAGUGGGGAAUAUUGCACAAUGGGGGAAACCCUGAUGCAGCGACGCCGCGUGGAGGAAGAAGGUCUUCGGAUUGUAAACUCCUGUUGUUGAGGAAGAUAAUGACGGUACUCAACAAGGAAGUGACGGCUAACUACGUG
rnacentral:rRNA from 1 species